CUUCCGUACAACUUACAGGCUAUGAGGCUAAUUGCAAACUAAUUCUAAUUGCAAACUUAUAGGCUACAAGCCUACAACACCAAUUCAAAGGAAAUCAACAUCCAAAUUAUUACACACACAUUACAAAUGCCAAAAUCCAUCAAAUACAAAUCUGGAGUACCAAGUACUUACCUAAGCGAGCCAGAGAUGAGCAGUGAUUGGUGCUUCGGCUUUGGCACUCAGCAGCGAUGAACCAGCACGGCAGGGAUGAACUGGUGAAGUGAUAAAUUCGGUCGAAUGAGGACUGAGAUGGAGACAGGAGAGGCGUAGAGUGCGGCGGAGAGCAGCUUUGAUUUGGGAAUUGGGACUUGGGAUGGGAGUGAACUCAGUGAAGCUGUGAAAGCCCUAAGUGAAGGCACUACCGCACUAGGCAGUGAUUGUUCAAAUUAUCAGCUGAAAUCUGACUUUUCCCAAAUUCAUCAUAUAAGAUUGUGUAAUUUUUAAUUUACAAAUUGGGGCUCCUAAAUUAUAAUACAUUCAUUAUGCUCCUCAAUGAUUUAUAAAUUAUUACUGAUUUGAUCCCCAAA
rnacentral:lncRNA from 1 species